AACGAACGCUGGCGGCAGGCUUAACACAUGCAAGUCGAACGCCCCGCAAGGGGAGUGGCAGACGGGUGAGUAACGCGUGGGAACGUGCCCUUCGCUUCAGGAUAGCCCCGGGAAACCGGGAGUAAUACUGGAUACGCCGUAUUGGGAAAGAUUUAUCGGCGAAGGAUCGGCCCGCGUUAGAUUAGGUAGUUGGCGGUGUAAUGGACCACCAAGCCUACGAUCUAUAGCUGGUCUGAGAGGAUGAGCAGCCACACUGGGACUGAGACACGGCCCAGACUCCUACGGGGGGCAGCAGUGGGGAAUCUUGGGCAAUGGGCGGAAGCCUGAUCCAGCCAUGCCGCGUGAGUGAAGAAGGCCUUAGGGUUGUAAAACUCUUUCGCCGGAGAAGAUAAUGACGGUAUCCGGAGAAGAAGCCCCGGCUAACUUCGUGCCAGCCGCCGCCGUAAUAC
rnacentral:rRNA from 1 species